AGGUGGAGCGAAUCCCUAAAACGACGUCCCAUUCGGAUUGCAGGCUGCAACCCGCCUGCAUGAAGUUGGAAUCGCUAGUAAUCGCGGAUCAGCAUGCCGCGGUGAAUACGUUCCCGGGCCUUGUACACACCGCCCGUCACACCAUGAGAGUCGGGGACACCCGAAGUCCGUAGUCUAACCGCAAGGGGGACGCGGCCGAAGGUGGAUUCGAUAAUUGGGGUGAAGUCGUAACAAGGUACC
rnacentral:rRNA from 1 species